rnacentral:tRNA from 1 species
CUGGCUAUAGCGCAGCCUGGUAGCGCACCUGCUUUGGGAGCAGGUUGUCGCAGGUUCAAAUCCUGCUAGCCAGACCA